AUUGCUUCUUGGCCUUUUGGCUAAGAUAAAGUAUAGUAUUUAUCUAUUUAUUUAUUUAUUUUACCAGAGCACUCCUCAGCUCUGAUUCAUGGUGGAGCUGGGGUUUGAACCUGGGACUUCGGAGCCUCAGGCAUGAGAAUCUGUUU
rnacentral:snRNA from 1 species